rnacentral:rRNA from 1 species
GAUGAACGCUGGCGGCGUGCCUAAUACAUGCAGGUCGAGCGAACAGACGGGGAGCUUGCUCCUCUGACGUUAGCGGCGGACGGGUGAGUAACACGUGGAUAACCUACCUAUAAGACUGGGAUAACUUCGGGAAACCGGAGCUAAUACCGGAUAAUAUAUUGAACCGCAUGGUUCAAUAGUGAAAGACGGUUUUGCUGUCACUUAUAGAUGGAUCCGCGCCGCAUUAGCUAGUUGGUAAGGUAACGGCUUACCAAGGCGACGAUGCGUAGCCGACCUGAGAGGGUGAUCGGCCACACUGGAACUGAGACACGGUCCAGACUCCUACGGGAGGCAGCAGUAGGGAAUCUUCCGCAAUGGGCGAAAGCCUGACGGAGCAACGCCGCGUGAGUGAUGAAGGUCUUCGGAUCGUAAAACUCUGUUAUUAGGGAAGAACAAAUGUGUAAGUAACUAUGCACGUCUUGACGGUACCUAAUCAGAAAGCCACGGCUAACUACGUG